AGCGACUAUAAAAAGGAGGAAAAUAGGAAAAUUGGCAACAUAGUGUUGCAAAAGAUCUAAGCAAGAAGACGGUCCAAAGUAGUUUUUAACACUAAAAAAAAGUGAAUAUUUAUAUGUGUGUUUACUUGUUAACAAAAAGUUCCCCAAAAUCACAAUAUUUUUUUUGGUCUCCACUGACUGCUGAGUGGGGAUCUGGUGUUAAAUGCCCGGUCCUUGGGUUUAAAUUGGCCGUUGAAUUUGAAGGUCUCCCUGUUUGGUGUCAUACUUCUGUUUGGUGUCCGUAUCUGAGGCAGCGGAAUUUGGGUCAAAAUUGAUCGGAUGGCCACAAGUUGGAGAUUUUUUGUUGAUCGCAAGUUGUCAUCUCCUAUGGCAUAAAAAUUAAUAUUUUGCCACGUAA